rnacentral:rRNA from 1 species
UACGUAGGGUGCGAGCGUUAAUCGGAAUUACUGGGCGUAAAGCGUGCGCAGGCGGUUCGUUGUGUCGGUGGUGAAAUCCCCGGGCUUAACCUGGGAAUGGCAUUUGGGACUGCAAGGCUGGAGUGCGGCAGAGGAGACUGGAAUUCCUGGUGUAGCAGUGAAAUGCGUAGAUAUCAGGAGGAAUACCGAUGGCGAAGGCAGGUCUCUGGGCUGACACUGACGCUCAUGCACGAAAGCGUGGGGAGCAAACAGG